UUUUUCUUUUGGUUUCAAAAUACUUCCUCCAUAGCUUUUAGCACAUGGAUCUUUACAAGUGUGUCUGAGUCUAAAAAGAUUGCUUCCUGGCAAAGCAUACUCCCUCUUCCUCCCCCUCCCCUGCUGCCAUGGAAACAGCACUUGCUCAAGUGUCAGGAGAUCUCUCUCUCUCUCCCUCACACACACACACACACACACACACACACACACACACACACACACACACAGAGCAGAUUAAUAUAUUCUCAAGGAAAUGCUUUCUAUGCCUUCUCCUUCUGGUGUCCUUUAUACUUCUAAAAAGACACAUUCAGAGCCAAAAUUUUACAAAUUCCUACCAUCCAAUUGUUAUCUAUUGUAUCCUCUGUUUUGAUGUUAAAAAUUCUGAUUUUUCUUCAACAUAAUCUCUCUCAGAAGUGAACUAAUCUAUUAUUUGUCCUUCACCUACCUCCAACUUUUCUCCUGCCCCUUAAAUAACAUACGGUAUAUCUCAAUAUGUUUAGUUUAUUAACUAAAAAGGAAGCUGUUUCAGAUUUUACUCAAUCUCUCUCUCUCUUUUAUUUUUUAUUUACUUAUUUUUUUUAUGGCCACGCCUGGUCAUAUGGCAGUUCCCUGGGCCAGGGAUUGAAUUCAAGUCUCAGCUGCAGAUCCUUUAACCCACUAUGCCCAGCUGGGGAUUGAACCCCUACCCUCUCAGUGACCUGAGCCGCUGAAGUCUGAUUCUUAACCCACUAUGCCACAGCAGGAAUUCUCUUUACUCACUUUCUUUGAUGCAUAUAAUGAUGCAUUUCAUGUAUUUCAUUUAUUUAAAUAUUCUCUACCCAAAAUAUGGGCACAACAGCCGUUCUUCAGAAGAAUAUUGAUGAAUUGCAAGUUCAUGGGAGUAUGGGACUAGAGUUAUCUGGUUUAUGAACUUGAAAAGAAACUAAAGAAAAAUCUGAUGCAGGGAAGUAAUUUGUUUCAACCAGUAUUUCUUGAACACCUGCUAUCUGACCAUACAUAUAUAGCCCAAUUCCCUUGAAAGCUGAUUCUACAUACAUGGAGAAACUCAUGAUCAAUCGUAAGCUCUGAGGGUGCAGUAUGGUGCCUGAGCGUCAGGCACAUGGGCUCAAUUUCUCCACCAGUUGGCCGCUUUUGCUUCAACUGAAUUGGGCCAAAGCACUGCAGCCUGUGAGACGAGCAACUUGGAGUUCCCUUCCUUGCUCAGGGGUUAACAAACCCGACUAAGAAACAUGAGGGUGCAGGUUCGAUCCCUGACCUCGCUCAUGGGUUAAGGAGCCAGCGUUGCCUUGAGCUGUGAUAUGAGUCCCUGAUGCAGCUUGGAUCCCUAGCCUGGAACCUCUAUGCUUCGGCUAUGGCCCUUUAAAAAAAAGAAAGAAAGAAAAAGACAAGUCACUUGGUCAAGGUCCGGAGUUACUCACCAGCAACGUCUGAAUCUGAACUCAGUUUGUCUGAACCCAAAGUCCAUGGUCUUUUAAACUCACCAGCUUAAUUCCCAAAAUAAAACC
rnacentral:lncRNA from 1 species